ensembl:lncRNA
CACAUCCCUCCAUGGCUUGUGCUACAUUCCUGGAUUGUGGGUUUCCCCACCAAGCCUUCUACUGCUUGUCAGCUUCAGCCUCUUGGACUCAACUGAUUUUGCUGUCCUGGAUUUUGCUCUUGUGGACUCUGUUCAACUCCUGUCUGUUUUUGGAUGCUCCCCAGUCUUCAGUCUGCCAGUUUUGUUUCCCCACUAGCUUCUGGGUUGUCCUAGCCUGGCUAGCCUUUAGCUCGGUUUUCCCCUGGUUUUUGUAAGUACAUUGCUGUGUUGUUUGGUUCAGGUUAUUCCUGUUUGGUUUUGUGGUUUUUGUAGGUUUGGUAGUGUUUCUUUCAGUGUUAGUGGUGGUUUAGUUUGUCUGCUGGGGUCUGUUUCACGAAGCAGGUUCAACAAACUGUUGUUGGUUAAAUCAACUCUGAGUAGUUUCUCCCGGAGUUAAGCACGUGCACCACAGCUCUGAAAAGCCAGUAUUAAUGGAGCGCCGAUUCGACGAGUCACCAUGGCAACGGGUAAGCAGAGGACGACACCGUUUGAAUUGGAAAUCUUCAUGCGCUCAUAUAGCGAGUUUGAACACGUUUUUAGAAAGAAGUGCAACACCGCUGCAGCUGCAAACGAGGGGGAAACGGCGUGGGAGAGCAUUGCUGCCCGAGUCAAUGUGUGCAAUCCUGUGAGGGAGAAGUGCAUGUGGCAAACAGGUAAGAAGUAUUUAUCACUGGAUAGAGGAAUUGUGGCCAUUGCAUUACCUCCACUGUGUGUUUGUUGAGUCUUCUCCUCUACAGGCUGGGGACCUGGAACCUUUGACUGAAUUUUAAGUAACUAUUCACCGGUUUCCGCACCAUCUUUCCAUCUUUCUAUCGGGACAGCGUAGCGGCCUAUCUACCUAUGGAACAGAUUGCUAGACAGCUAGCAGAGCUAACUAUGAUUGAUAAAGUUUUCUGCACAUCAUAUUUACUAACAAACAGCAAAACCUGAACAAUAUAUACAAAUGCUAUGUGUUACAUUAAAUGUAUACAUUAACUCACUUUGUGUUGCUAAUACCUUACAAAUAGUAUGUAAACUUUUAAUUAGUUUCAGAUGUGAACACUUCACUAUACACUGCUAAAACUCUAUAUGCUACUACAUUACCAAAGGAAGCGAUCAUUAUUAACACACAAAGAUGUGAUUUAAUAUUAUAUAUUUACUUGUUGUCUUUAACCCACUUCUCAUAGGUUGGCCUGACAACAAAAUAAACCCGAUCCUUUCAUCUAGAUCUUGUUACUACAGAAAACUACAACUUCAUCCUGUGAUAUUCAUGUGCAACUCCAUACUUUAAUUUCCUCUAUAUAUUUUCAGUUAUCACUAACACAAAUUGACAAACCACUUACUCAAAAUCCAUCACACACCACAAAUAAAUAUAUGCAAUACUCCAACCACCAUAUUACAAGGCCACAUCUACAAAUGUAAACAUUGCAACACAACUUAGACAUGGCUGCAUGUUCACACUUGAACUAUGUAAACUAUCAGAAAAACAAACUAAACUAGCUCUUUCAUUUCUAUGAAAUAAAGAAAAAGGAUGCACUUGAUGCACUAUGUGUCAUGCAAAAGUUAAGUGAUUCUUCUUGCUGUACUUCUGUUUUUCUGUCCCCCGACUGCUAUUGUUUUCUUUAAUGGAAUUCUGACAAUAAAC